rnacentral:sRNA from 1 species
AGUAUUCUGAAAGCAUGCAGAGUUUUUAGUGAUAAAAUUACAAAUGAGAAAUAAGAAAGGAUACGUAUAUCAACUUGUUUAAAGAGAUUUACGUAGGAAAAUGUAGACGAUUAUCAGUUGUCUCUUGAGAAGUUAUUGUAGACUGCAGCAAUAUACGUAACAAUGGCUGAUCGAUCGUGUGUUUUCUUUCAAUGUAAGGAUAUUCUUGCUUCUAUCGAGAGUCAUAUUUUACAUGGACUUAAAUUGAACAAUUAACAGCAUUAACAGUGCCUCACAAGAUAGUAGUACUUAUCAUUAAAAAAGAAAACGUUUCUAGUGCAAACAAUCUAUGUUUACUGUGAUGAAUUGUGAUAGAAAACUGUCAGACAGAUGGCAAAAAACAUGCACCAGUAAUGUUCUUGAUGAUGAUGUAAUAUGAUCACUAUCAAAACAAUUCUGUUUGCACCAAAGCAUGCAUCAUUAUUUGAAUUGUGCAUUGAAUAUAGACAGUACAAUUGCUGGUGUUGUGUUACGUCACGUAAGCGGCCUCCUUUGUCUGCUGCACUCGGAAGUACUCACUCAAAGUUGUACAAUCUACUGCACUUUUAAACCUUUGUUUACAUACAUUGCAAUGUACUAGCAAAACCGUGAGCAAUUACAGACAAAUACAGGGAUGAUUACAUGCGUUUCCUCUUAUCAUAUUCAAUGAUAUAAUAAUUUUGCAAUAAAAAAAACUCAAAAGGUC